GUCAUGUACUCUAAGUAAAAUAAAAAAUGAAAUAAAUCUUUUCGAUACGGCAAAGAGAAUUUGAAAUAGAGGUGUAUGGUCAAAGAAAACUGUGUCGACAAAUGGCAGUAAAUUGACUGUGGCUACAGUUUUCUGUGACAAUUCACCUCUAUUUCAAAUUCUUUUUGGAUACGGUAAACUGAAGGGUAAAAAAUCUUAAUUAAUAAAACCGACAUCUCUUACUGCGCUCUAACAUGUUGCAGUACUAACGUAUUCACAAGUAUUAAAAAUUUUGAUGCCACAUUCACAGAUGGCGCUAAAUUCAACUCUUUAUCUUGUGGUUAUUUUAUGGAAAGCAAAUGGAAAGUUGGUUUACAGUAAUAUCAUAAUAUAAUAAUCUAUGGUUGCAAACACCAUUUUUUUUUAAUUCAAUUUAAUUUAUUUAUUUAGAGAGAUAGAGAUCUUUAUUUGCAUACCAAAAUAUGUUACAUAUAUUGACCCUGGAAAAAGUGUAGCAAAAUAAAAAGUAGUUCAUAAUAUCACACUUUGCUUACUUUUAUUACUUAUAUUAGAAACCUACAACACGGCCUAUACUUAGGUAAUAUUAAAUAGUACUUGUACAUUUUUUUAAUUGCACUUUCCUCUAAGUAACAAUAAAAAUUUUAAUUACAAGAUUGUGUUUGAAAUUAUAUAACACUACGCAUAACAAUAUAAGACAAAUGUUAUACAGCGUAACUAAUGUCAAAGUACAGAAAUAUCCAAUUUAAAAAAAAACAGGUCACAAGAAUAUUAAUAUGCAGAUUUAUACAUGCACACAAUUACACUAAAUUUAUAUAAUUACUAAUUAGUAUACAUAAAGGAAGGAAUGGAAAGAUUUGCAAGGUAUUGGUAGGCUUCCGUACCUAAAUUGGUUAAGAGCAACGCACGGAUUGCGGAAGUUGCGGGUUCAAGUCCUGCCGGGAGCGUAACUUUUUCCAUUUUUUCCUUUUCCUUUCCUUUAGUCAGUAAAGUUAAAACAAGAUAGCUUUGCAGUGGUUUUGUUUUGAUAGCACAGAUUGUGGAAGUGUUAUUUAGUUCAUCAUUGUGUAGAAGUUUGUCGUUUCCAAUAACACUUGCACAUGCACAACCUGUGCUAUCAACAUGCUGCAGAGUUAUCUUGGUCUUAAUGUAUUUAUGUGUGAAAUGAGACGGUCCGGGGGGGUCCUGGGCCAACAUAAUUUCUAUUUUGUCAUUUAGGUUUCUUGAACGCAGCAACUUUUUUGCAAUUGAGAACAGGCUCAUUGCCUAUUCUCUAUGCAAUUUAAAAAAUUGACCUAUUUAAAAAGUUAUCCGCAAAAAAAAACAAAAGAAUGAUGUGUUUAUCUGUCUUAUUGGGUAUAUAAAUUUAGUAAUUCGAUUUUAUUUAUCAUAAUUCAUACCUAUUAGGUGUUUGCUGCUGUCUUAUGUGAGUGUUUGCUAUUUUAUGCAACGGUAUAACUAGAUUAACUACCUAGGUCUUAAAAUUCUUGGACCUGUAAUUACAAAACUGGACUUCGCCUCGUUUCGCUUUGUAACUUCGGCCCUUGGAUUUGAAGAACCCUAACCUUAUUAUGUUUUCAGCAAGUUCAACUCAAACGAUCUCAAAAAGCAGAGUUUUUACACGUUGCGCCACCCUAAAACGAUUUCUGUAACCGUACGUUCAAAAACCCCUAGCAGUGUAAAUCACCAUUGGACAACAACCUGCCUAACAGAUUACCAUGUCAAAAGAAUUUACGGCCGAAACGCUGUUUACACAUUUAUGCCGCCGCCGUCAUAAACGCCGAAAAACCUACGAGAACUUUUAUUAUCGCGAAUCCAUGUGGUUCACAGACGGUGUCAGUACAGACUUUUAACUUGCAGCGUUGUAAGCGUUUAUUUAAUUACAUUUACUUAAUUUAUU